rnacentral:rRNA from 1 species
UACGUAGGCAGCGAGCGUUGUUCGGAAUUACUGGGCGUAAAGAGCGUGUAGGCGGCCCGAUAAGUCCGCUGUGAAAGUCCAGGGCUCAACCCGGGAAUGCCAGUGGAAACUGUCGGGCUGGAGUCCGGAAGAGGCGAGUGGAAUUCCUGGUGUAGCGGUGAAAUGCGCAGAUAUCAGGAGGAACACCGGGGGCGAAGGCGGUUCGCUGGGCAUAACCUGACGCUGAGGAGCGAAAGUGUGGGGAGCGAACAGG